GUAUGAAGCUGGAAUCGCUAGUAAUCGCAAAUCAGAAUGUUGCGGUGAAUACGUUCCCGGGUCUUGUACACACCGCCCGUCACACCAUGAGAGUUGGAAAUACCCGAAGCCUGUGAGCUAACAGUAAUGAGGCAGCAGUCGAAGGUAGAGCCAAUGAUUGGGGUGAAGUCGUAACAAGGUAUC
rnacentral:rRNA from 1 species